GACGAACGCUGGCGGCGUGCCUAAUACAUGCAAGUUGAGCGAUGAAGAUUGGUGCUUGCACCAAUUUGCAGAGCAGCGAACGGGUGAGUAACGCGUGGGGAAUCUGCCUUUGAGCGGGGGACAACAUUUGGAAACGAAUGCUAAUACCGCAUAACAACUUUAAACAUAAGUUUUAAGUUUGAAAGAUGCAAUUGCCUCACUCAAAGAUGAUCCCGCGUUGUAUUAGCUAGUUGGUGAGGUAAAGGCUCACCAAGGCGAUGAUACAUAGCCGACCUGAGAGGGUGAUCGGCCACAUUGGGACUGGGACACGGCCCAAACUCCUACGGGAGGCAGCAGUAGGGAAUCUUCGGCAAUGGACGAAAGUCUGACCGAGCAACGCCGCGUGAGUGAAGAAGGUUUUCGGAUCGUAAAACUCUGUUGGUAGAGAAGAACGUUGGUGAGAGUGGAAAGCUCAUCAAGUGACGGUAACUACCCAGAAAGGGACGGCUAACUACGUG
rnacentral:rRNA from 1 species